rnacentral:rRNA from 1 species
AACUAACAAGGAUUCCCCUAGUAACUGCGAGUGAAGCGGGAAAAGCUCAAAUUUUGAAUCUGGCGGUCAAGCGACCGUCCGAAUUGUAAUCUAGAGAAGUGUCUUCCGCGCUGGACCGUGUACAAGUCUCCUGGAAGGGAGCAUCAUAGAGGGUGAGAAUCCCGUCUUUGACACGGACUACCAGGGCUUAUGUGAUGCACUCUCGACGAGUCGAGUUGUUUGGGAAUGCAGCUCAAAAUGGGUGGUAAAUUCCAUCUAAAGCUAAAUACUGGCAAGAGACCGAUAGCGAACAAGUACCGUGAGGGAAAGAUCAAAAGAACUUUGAAAAGAGAGUUAAACAGUACGUGAAAUUGCUGAAAGGGAAACGCUUGAUGUCCAGUCGCGUUGAUUAGGGGUCAACCGGUAAUACGGUGUAAUUCCUAGUCGACGGGUCAGCAUCAGUUUCGGUCGCCGUACAAAGGCGAAGGGAAAGUAGCACUUUAAUUAGUGUAUUAUAGACCCUCGUUGGAUGCGCGCGGUCGGGACUGAGGAAACCCUUGUAACCCAAGGGGAUGUUGGCAUAAUGGCAUUAAGCGACCCGUCUUGAAACACGGACCAAGGAGUCUAACAUGCCUGCGAGUGUUUGGGUUUGCAAACCCGAGUGCGAAAUGAAAGUGAAAGUCGAGAUCUUUAAUUAGAGCACCGACGCCCGGAACCAAAGUCUUUAUUGACUACGGAUCUGCGGUAGAGCAUG